rnacentral:rRNA from 1 species
UACCAGCACCCCGAGUGGUCGGGACGAUUAUUGGGCCUAAAGCAUCCGUAGCCGGCCUUACAAGUCCUCCGUUAAAUCCAGCUGCUUAACAGAUGGGCUGCGGAGGAUACUAUAAGACUAGGAGGCAGGAGAGGCAAGCGGUACUCAGUGGGUAGGGGUAAAAUCCGUUGAUCCAUUGAAGACCACAAGUGGCGAAGGCGGCUUGCCAGAAUGCGCUCGACGGUGAGGGAUGAAAGCUGGGGGAGCAAACCGG